rnacentral:tRNA from 1 species
AGCACUAUACCCACCUUGUGGGGUUUAAGCUGAUACCUUAAAAGAGAAACUUCAAACCUUCUAGUGCUA